rnacentral:tRNA from 1 species
GUUUACGCAGGUCGGAAGCCUGAUCACUUUCUAAGUGAUCAGGCUUUUCUGCUGUCUGACCGUCAUCUGACCGUGGACC